rnacentral:rRNA from 1 species
CAGCCGCCGCGGGAAUACGUAGGUGGCAAGCGUUGUCCGGAAUUAUUGGGCGUAAAGCGCGCGCAGGUGGUUUAAUAAGUCUGAUGUGAAAGCCCACGGCUCAACCGUGGAGGGUCAUUGGAAACUGUUAAACUUGAGUGCAGGAGAGAAAAGUGGAAUUCCUAGUGUAGCGGUGAAAUGCGUAGAGAUUAGGAGGAACACCAGUGGCGAAGGCGGCUUUUUGGCCUGUAACUGACACUGAGGCGCGAAAGCGUGGGGAGCAAACAGGAUUAGAUACCCCUGUAGUCCCUGUCUCUUAUAA